AAGGCUUCAGUAUGAUCAGUCAGAACUAUAAGUCUCAAAGCCCCGACGAGUAGGGUGGCGUGCCGGUGCGCGUUGAAGGCCAAGACGUGAGUCAGGCUGGAGCCGCCGGUAGUGCAGAUCUUGGUGGUAGUAGCAAGUACUCUGGUGAACAACCUGGAGCUGUGAGGUCUGGAUCAGGGUUCCAUGUCAACAGCGAUUGAACAUGGGUGAGUCGGUCCUAAGCCAACUGUGAAAGCAGUGACAUCCCGUCAAGGGCGAUCAUGUGCAAGCAAGCAAGCAAGCAAAAAAUUGUCUGGAUUGUGUGUGCCACGCGGGUUCGCAUUUAAGAACUGCUGCUGGGCCACCGUGAAGUUUUGGUGCUCUGCGCUCACUUGCCUGGUCAUAGCUGCUCGGUGUAGUGUGUAGCGAUGUUGCGUGGCUCUCUCGCUCAGUCCCUCCCUAGUCGUGAUGACGAUAACUUACUCGACUCGUAAAACAGCGAGAAACACGCGACUUGGGGGAUCUGGGCAGUAGUAGUCGUAGGGGCCUAGGUCGUGCCCUGUGAAAGCGCAACGUCGUAUACACCACCAAUGCACCAGCGGGAAUAUAAAUGACUCGAGCAAAGACACCUUAACCUGCUCCCCAGCAGCGAUGCGAGACGCGCUCGUAACAACGCACGCACGCACUGCAUGUAGUAGCCCGAGUACGGUUUCUAUGUCUGGCGAAAGAGAAUGGGGACUUUGUUCCUAGACCGGUCCCGGCACCCUCGAUAGGCUUACGCCAAUCACUGGUCCAUGUAAAUGAAACCAGGCCACAGCCGCCGGCAGUCGCCCGAGGAAGAGUUUUCUUUUCUGCUUAACGCACGAGGCCAUCCCUGGAAGCAGUUCGGCUGGCGAAAGGGUGUCCCGUUGCGGCAGAGCGCCACGACUGUCGUGUGCGUCUCGGUGUUCCUGCCGGUCCGUGAAGACGUGGUCGAGGGGAUUGCUCUUGUUCAGUAUAUACACGCCCGACAAGUUCGGGUCCGACCGUACCCUAUAUCCGCAUCCGGUAUCCAAGGUUCGUAGCCUCUGCAGACUCAGACACAUGUAGGUAAGGGAAGUCGGCAAACUCGAUCCGUAACUUCGGGAUAAGGAUUGGCUCUGAGAGUCGAGCUGGACCGGGCCUUGUCUGCAAAGCAGUACCUAUAGUGACCGGGGUUCUGGGGUGUGGGGGCCUAGUAGUGCCGUCAAAAGCACGAGCGGCUCGUCCGCCCCACCCAACCACGAACGGCUGUGACGGCAGGGCUUAGGGCGGGGACACACUCAAAUGUUGGCUUCCAGCGCGUCUGGAUAGCGGCAGUGUCUCGCAUGUCCCACACGGCUCCAGCGCCUAGCGACUAGCUCAGAACUGUCAUGGACCAAGGGAAUCCGACUGUCUAAUUAAAACAAAGCGUUGUGACGGCCCCUGUUGGGUGUUGACGCAACGUGAUUUC
rnacentral:rRNA from 1 species